rnacentral:misc_RNA from 1 species
AGGGACCAUGAUUCACUGUUCAGGAUGGUCUAUGAAGGAAUGUGGAUUAACGAUAAACCCGCACAAGAAGCAGCCGAGAUCGUGAUCCUCGGUGAACAGAUCAUCGAGCUCCAGCAGGGCCAGCCUUUCACCAUUGAGGUGGAGGUCAGGACGGCCGAUGGCGAGGUCGUCGACUGCGAGCAGAACCGUCGGCUGAGGGUAUCAGCAGGUUUCAAGCACUACGUCCCUAACCAGGGAAUGCCGCUCUUUGAUCUCAUAGAAGAGAUGGAAGAAAUACCCAUCCCAACACCAUAUGGUUACGAGGUUGUAGCCUACCCCCUCACGGACUACGACAAUCUGAAAGAGAAGUUAUCAGAAUCUGUCUUAAAGCCUUCAACUGCUGCCACAGAUGCGCUGACUGUGGUAACGGAUGCCAUGACUGCAGAUAAUGUCAGUGUAACGUUAGAAGAGGACGGGGAAGGAGAGGCGGAGCUUGGACCAGAGGUUGCACCAAGCACUGAGAUACCGCCUAGUACAGCUGCUGAAACGACGAUAGCCCCUAGCGAGAUGACAGGAGAUGAGAUCUCGGAGUCACCCCUCCCUCCCCUGUCGAUCAUAGAGUAGUGGAAAAAGGAAAAGCAGAAUUCUUGGAUGUAGUUCUGCCUCCCGCUCCAUUUGGCUAUCAACCAUUCUCCAUCCUCGACAUCACCCUUGAGGAAGAAGCCCAGAAGAAGGCCAAGAACUCCAAAACGGCCGGUCUAGCGAACCAGCUUAGGAUCGGGGCCAAACUCAACAAGAGUAUAGUGCUUGUAUCCAAUGCACUCAAGUUUAUUAAUGACUUAGACGACGCUGACGAAGAUGAACUUCACGUGAAAUCAGAUCAAUUUUCUGUCGAUAAACUCAAGGACUUCAAGCUGAGCAAAG